GAGAACCUCAGUGCUUUUAUUCCCAUGAUAAAGCCUUUGGCUCUAAAUGUGUUUCAGGGAUAUUCAAAGUGGAAAUCUUUCUCUUCAUCUGGGGAAUUGCUUGGUGUCGACUGACAAGGAAAUGGAAGUUUUCUGGAAAGACAGUUUAUCCUGAAAUGUCAGCACACAGAAAGAUGAAGUGUCUUCUGAAACAGAAAGUGAAUGCUGAUUUGAAGGGCUUGUGUCUGCAAACAUGGUGUGGGAGAGGCAAUGCCUGAAUCACCAGGAAACAGCAAUUACAUCUGCUGUAAAAUCACCUCCCAUGCAGAGAGAAUCAAGAAGAAGAGCAGAGAGAUAUAUCUGUGCACAGUGGUAUGUGUCUUUAGCACACAAUGUCUAUUUUCCUUCUAUUUAUAUCUUGCAAUUUCUUGAAACACUUACCCCGAUCAGGUGGUUAAUAUUUUGUAUG